UAGUCUGUGAUGGUUUCAGUAUUUUG
rnacentral:sRNA from 1 species